CUCAGUGAUGAAGAACAAGCUACGAUCUCUGCACUGAGAAAGGAAGUGGAGAAGAAGAAUCAGAUGAUGAAGGAGAAGCUGGAGGAGAUGAACAGACACAUCUCAGCUCUUUCACACACCAUCAAAGACAUCGAGGAAAGAAUGAAAGCCAAUGACGUCUCGUUUCUGAAGAACUUUAAUGUCACAAAGGAAAGAGCCCGUGGCACUCAGCCCGAUCCAGAGAGGUGCUGUGGAG